CAUUGUCGACAACAUGGAGGCGAAUCAUCGGCGAGUUGCGUCACCGGCGACAAACAUGGAGGGGAGUCACCGGCGAGUUGCGGCACCGGUGACGACCAUGGAGGCAAGUCACCGACGAGUUGCGGCAACGGUGGCAAACAUGCGGCAGGGAGCAUGCCACGGCAGCACGCUCGUGGUGAAGGCACGGGAGGUGUGGCUCUCAUUGAAACUAGCGCGUCGGGGACAAUAGGCGUGACAAGAUGGCAUUGGCGGCCGUCUCCGUGUUGCACCGACGACAUCGGCGAUCAUGGGCUUCAAGAGAGGAGUAAGAGACAACAAGGUUAA
rnacentral:rRNA from 1 species